rnacentral:rRNA from 1 species
CCUACGGGUGGCAGCAGUGAGGAAUAUUGGUCAAUGGACGGAAGUCUGAACCAGCCAUGCCGCGUGCAGGAAGACGGCUCUAUGAGUUGUAAACUGCUUUUGUACAAGGGUAAACCUGAAUACGUGUAUUCAGCUGAAAGUACUGUACGAAUAAGGAUCGGCUAACUCCGUGCCAGCAGUCGCGGUAAUACGGAGGCUCCAAGUGUUAUCCGGAUUUAUUGGGUUUAUAGGGUGCGUAGGCGGGUUGAUAAGUUAGUGGUGAAAUGUGCUAGCUUAACUCGUGAACUGCCUCUAAUACUGUUGAUCGAGAGAAUAGAUGCGGUAGGCGGAAUGUAGGGUGUAGCGGGGAAAUGCUUAGAGAUCAUACAGAACACCGAUUGCGAAGGCAGCUUACCAAUCUAUAUCUGACGUUGAGGCACGAAAGCGUGGGGAGCAAACAGGAUUAGAUACCCCUGUAGUC